CCUACGGGAGGCAGCAGUGAGGAAUAUUGGACAAUGGACGAGAGUCUGAACCAGCCAAGUAGCGUGAAGGAUGAAUGCCCUCUGGGUUGUAAACUUCUUUUAUCUGGGGGUAAAAUGUUCCACGAGUGGGAUUUUGUAUGUACGAUAUGAAUAAGGAUCGGCUAACUCCGUGCCAGCAGCCGCGGUAAUAUGGAGGAUCCGAGCGUUAUCCGGAUUUAUUGGGUUUAAAGGGAACGUAGGUGGUUUGUUAAGUCAGUUGUGAAAGUUUGCGGCUUAACCGUAAAAUUGAAGUUGAAACGGGCAGUCGUGAGUACAGUAGAGGGGGGCGGAAUUCGUUGUGUAGCGGUGAAAUGCUUAGAUAUGUCGAAGAACUCCGAUGGCGAAGGCAGUUCACUGGACAGCAACUGACACUGAGGUGCGAAAGUGUGGGUAGCAAACAGGAUUAGAUACCCGUGUAGUC
rnacentral:rRNA from 1 species